UCCCUGUUUCCCUUUCAUCCUUCCUCUGAGAUCAUUCUAGCCGUAAUAGGCACCCCUGUAACCCUGUUCCAGAACCUUCUCCCCUUAAUAGCUACAUCUGUGCCUACAUCCGAAGCUUUUGUCGAUGGGUGAAUUAUACCGGUUUCGUGGGCUGCAUUGGGAAACAUAGCUAUUUUCCAAUCCUAGGGUUAGGCAAUCCAGAACCUCCUGCUGAAUCACGUGCAAGCUCCUCUGCGUAUCAGCGUCAUGCUCCAGAGCCUCUGGCUAUAGCUGGAUGCACCAUGGUUAUAGACAACACAUGAACCCUAUCACCUAAUCUCCUAGCUAUAGCCAAUUCAGAUGUAGCUUUUCAAAAUCCAGUUGUGGAUUCUGCUUUCCAGGAUGUGCCUAAACUCUAGAUCAGAAGCCAGCUCUUCAUUCUUCUUUACAGAUGCUGUCAUGGUGGUUCUUAUGAGGAGUGAUUCAUGGCUAUGGUAGCUGAUAGUGCUCCAAUGAGGCAAGGAUCUGAUUCUACUUAUGGUUUACGGUGUUUGUUUUUAAGAUGCUGCAUGGCCAUAUAGAAAAAGGCAUUAGACCAUAGUUCCCUGUUGAAAGAAAAUGGGCUUUUGGCCUUCACAUACAGUGGAUGGGAAAAAGUAGGAAUUAAUUAAGGCCAACAGAAAAAGGAGACUAUGCAGAUGUGAAUUCUGCUAAUUUGAUUUAUCCAUCCAACUAACAUUCAACAUGGCAUUUUCAUUUUGUCGGUUACUGUUUCUGAUCUGAUUGUCCAGUUUUGUCAUGAAUUCUGCCUCUGAUCUUCUUUCCAUGCUGUGUGGAAUUUUAAUUUGACUGAUGUAUAUUUUGUUUCAAUGGUAAAGGGUAAAAAGGCUUCAGAGUAAGAUGAAGAAAAGAUAGAAGCUAGGACUGAGUAAAAUAGUGAGUAAAAGAGCCUUCAGUUGUUGGCUUCAGCUGCCUCCAGCCACAAAGUGUGCCAGAGAUGUAGCCACACAACCUAGAAAGCAGAAUCAAAAGCUGGUUUUCGAGGUAGGGUGUAGAUCAUAGAUCACCGAUGGAGUGCAUCAAAAGCUAAUUACAUAGUUCUUUUCAUCUGAGAUGUAGCUUUUUCUUUUAUAAAACGAGGCAUUGAUAAGAGGAAAUUCAGAUGUAGCUUUUCAAAAUCCAGUUGUGGAUUCUGCUUUCCAGGAUGUGCCUAAACUCUAGAUCAGAAGCCAGCUCUUCAUUCUUCUUUACAGGUAGGAUUGUUCUGGCUUUGGGGAUUUUGAUUUGGUGGAGACAUAUGCACUGAGAGGAUUCGAAAGGUGUUUCAUACUAUCUGUGUUGUCAAUUUUCAAGGUGUUUCUAAAGGUUUAAGGUCUGGUUUAUCCAAGCUGAGGUGUUGGUCUGAUAAGGUAGGAUUAGGAGGGGAUUUAUGAGGAUUGUUUUUUCAGGAGUUUGCUGUGCGUGAUUAGCUUGGGAAUGUUGUGUCUUAUAAGCCCCAACUACUCAUGCUACAUUUUUCUUUCCUCUUACCCUCUAAGGUUUAUUUAAUCUUAGUUGGUUGUUUCUUCUCUUUGUAACUGGAUUUUGGCACCCCUUGUGCUAAAUCUUAAUAAAUCAUUGCUUAUAAAAAAUAAUACUAAGUUCAUCAUUCGAAACUCAUUCAAUAUGAAGUCAAAUCGUAGAGAACCAACUUCUCAUAGCUUUUACCUAUGUAAACAAUGAUUUUGGUUUUACCGUGAUUCUCGAAUGAGUUCCAAACAUGCACUAAGUAGAAAAGAUGUAGUUUACCUUUAAAGCUUAACAAGUCACAAUUUUUUGGGUCCAGACCACAUGUCAAUUAUUGAUUUCUUUUUUGUUUAAUCUUACUAAGCAAAGGUUAUAAAGAUCCUAAUCCAAAGAAUUAACCCAUAAUGCCUCCUCACUUACAAUCAAAGGACUAAUCAUAUAUUUCUCUUUCAAAUCUUUUAGGAAAGUAAUGGGUGCACACAAAACUUCACUUACACUUAGUGCGGGAUAAGAAGAGAAGAUAAAAGUCUCUUCCAAAAAAAUGAUGAAUAAAAAUGAUAUUAUUUCACAAAUUAGAGUUGACUAAUCAAAUAUAUGAUACGAAUCACUUUAGUGACAUAAAAUGAGUAAAUUUGACCCAGUUAGUCAUGAAUUUUGCACAUAUUGAAAAUGUCUCAUUUUUCUUGGGGGUCAUUCUGAUGAGUACAUGGUAUGCAUCUUAAUAGAGUUAGUUGCCUGGAACUCUGGCUACUGCCAGUUUCAUAUCUUCAUGUUCCCGCACAAAAGACUACGGUUGCUCUAACUUGAAAAAUGCUCACUGACUCUCGCGGAGGUUAAUAAAAAUAAAGUUCCUCUAAUUGUCUAUUACUUCUUUUUACAUAUGUAGUUAUUGAAUUUAGGAUUGAGGACUGAUUGUAUUUAUUUACAUAAAUUGCUCUUGAAUUUUUGUUCCCAAUUUCUGGUAUCAUAACUUUUAAGAGGAUGUGUCCGAUGUGUGAAUUUAUUUCUAAUCCAAGAUAUAGAUGUUCUUGAACUGUUUAUUGUAUGGUGCUUAGUUCUGCUAUAUUUAGCUCACAAAGGCAUGAUACAUGAGAGAUGAUGGCAUGAGCAAUGGUCUAUUGUUGAGAUGUGAGAAUCUGUGGUUUUCUGUUGCUGAGAUGAAAAAUUUAAUUCUCUAUUUGGUCAGCAUAUGUGUGCCAACCACUUAGACCAAAUAUCUAUUGCAGACAUUGCAGAUGUUAUCAAAGGGUCUGAUUCCACAUACAGCUCAGCGGAUAUAUUAGUUUUAUUAGAGAAGUUGCAAGAGGACAAUAAGAGAACAAUAGAGUGAUGAUAGUUGGUGGAAUGGUGCGUAUGAUAUCAAGUUGAUCAGUGCACAAUCUCUUGAAUGGAGAUUCAUGUAGGGAACAAAAAUUGCUGCCAUGAAGUAUGCAGUUUACAUUGGUGGAACACUUAGAGAAGGAUUUUCAAUGUUCAGAAUUUAGACCUAUUUACUUGCUGGUUGGGAGCUUUCUGCUAAUACUGCAAACAAGGAGAUAGAUAAUCUAUGUGGCUGUGUUGGACAUAUUCAUUACUGAGUUUUUGGGGCCCUCUUUGAAAGUUCUUUAGUUUUGUCCAUAAUUUGACUCCACCUAGCUAUAUCUUGAUGUAUUUCAGUGCUGCAAACCUUCAAUAUUUAAUUUGUUUUGGGGCAGAUUUAUCCAGCAGGCGUUUGGUAGGA